rnacentral:rRNA from 1 species
AACGAACGCUGGCGGCAGGCUUAACACAUGCAAGUCGAGCGCGUAGCAAUACGAGCGGCAGACGGGUGAGUAACGCGUGGGAAUCUACCGUACCCUAUGGAAUAGCUCCGGGAAACUGGAAGUAAUACCGUAUACGCCCGAAAGGGGAAAGAUUUAUCGGGGUAUGAUGAGCCCGCGUUGGAUUAGCUAGUUGGUGGGGUAAAGGCCUACCAAGGCGACGAUCCAUAGCUGGUCUGAGAGGAUGAUCAGCCACAUUGGGACUGAGACACGGCCCAAACUCCUACGGGAGGCAGCAGUGGGGAAUAUUGGACAAUGGGCGCAAGCCUGAUCCAGCCAUGCCGCGUGAGUGAUGAAGGUCUUAGGAUUGUAAAGCUCUUUCACCGAUGAAGAUAAUGACGGUAGUCGGAGAAGAAGCCCCGGCAAACUUCGUGCCAGCCGCCGCCGUAA